rnacentral:lncRNA from 1 species
ACAUGUUUUAUAUCGAACCAUUUCAACAGUGACACAACCAUCGGAGUAUCUAAAUUCACGAUCUUGCUAUAUCCUCCACCAACAUCCCUAUAGAAUAAACUACAAGACUAUGCUCCUAACUAAUCACUGCUGCCCUUCGCCUGACUCAGGUUUUGAAGCUUCCUUGAUUUCAUCCCCAGCAUCAUCCUGGAACCAGAAUAGUUUACAACAAAAACGCAUUCAACAUCAACAUGUCAGCAGUUAAAACAAGUGUAGUAUUCUAGAAUUUAGCAAUCAGGCACUAGCUAAUCCAUUGACAUACACAAGAUAAUAAUUUUUUUCUAGUGCAUGGGACGUACGUGCGUGUGUGCGCGCGCGCGUGUGUGUGUGUGAGAGGGAGAGAGAGAGAGAGAGACGCGCGCGCGCGCGUGUGUGUGAGAGGGAGAGAGAGAGAGAGAGAGACCGCAUUGUCUGAAGUCCAAAGGGUAAGAUUGUCUCGGAGAAGUUGCAUGAUCAAUGUACUGUCCUUGUAAGAUUCCUCACCCAGUGUAUCCAACUCUGAGAUAGCUUCAUCAAACGCCUGCAAUUGCAAUCAAACAUCAUCGCUUAUAAAUAUCUCCGGUAAUAAUAAGAGCAUAUUUUUGUCUUUACCUUUUUUUUAAGAUAUGUAUAUAUAAAUUAAAAAGAAAAUUCAGUACAAGAGAACUGUUCUGCGCUCUUAGCAAGAUUCUAGAAAUUCUAGGAUUAUUAAUUAUUAGUCUUUACUUUUCUAUUCUUGCAGCUUUAGCAAGGACGGAAAACUGUGGCUAUCUCUUGCCCCUAAGAAUGCUUUUUAGUUUGAUCUUCUUCUUGGAUAACGCUAUUGAACUACUGAGAAACUAAGAAAAAGAAGAGUACUUCAUUACAAGCUAGUGCUUUCCAAUGUUGUGGUCACACGGAAAGCUAAGGCUGACACUCAAAAGCCAAUAUGUUGCAAAUUUACCACUACAAUAGGGAAUAAAUUUGAUUGAAUUAGUUAGAUUAUGCCAAGCGUUGUUCAAGCAAAUGAUGCUAUGCUAUAGCAAGCAAAACUAGGAAGAGUAAACUAUGGGCAGUGGUUCCUCAAGCUGUGAUAUGGAAAAUUCGGAGAAGAAAUAGGAGACCCUCCAGAAUUAAGUUCUCAUACCACAACUUGUGGGACUCAUAUUUUUGUAUUGUAAUUCUUGGAGCACUAAUUGUACAGAUUUGUAUAAGUGAUGUUUUUUUCCUGGAUAACCACUAUUUCUAUAUAGCCCUAUGGUCAUGUGUACGUCUUGCAUAAAGGCAUCUCUCUCUGUCUUGCUCUCUAUGGUAUGGUAGAGAGUACUGGCCAAAAAAUAAGAAACGGGGUGCAUGGAAAAAUAUGCUAGUAUUAGUCUAUCACUUUGGUUGACUUAAUUGCACACAUGGUUAAUAGAAAUGCCUUAAAUGAUAUAUGAUGAAGAGUUGUCGUCAUUGUGUGAGCAGUGGAGGUGAUAUAGAGAAAUUCAUUAUCACACCAGUUUUCAAGGAUUUGCCUUGUGUUAAUUAAUGAAGCUACUGAGAGGGAGUCAAUCAAAUGCUUGAACUUGGAGGAGCACGGUCGAGAGUAAGAAUAUUAGUACAAAUAAAAUGAGGCAGAAUAUACUCACUGCGAGUUUGACUCCCAUGAUGAAGUUAGAGCAAGAUUAGAUGAAAUUAUGGGUCUAAAUAUAGGUAAAUUCAGGAAUCUAGGCCUACUGUCUCACUAGAAUAUGAAAAUGAAAUACAUAAAAGUUAAAAUAUGAUGGGUAAGAUGGAGGAGUAUUAUGGUAAUGCCAUAGGAAAUGCCUAAACUAGCGAAAGGCAAGAUUUGUAGAGUGACUGACACUAACAAUGUUAUAUGAGAACAAAUGUUGGUUUACAAGAUAAGUACUAUAAAAAUGCAAAUGCUAGGAAAGAUGUGCAACCAUACAGGAUUAGAAAUGAUAAACUUAGACCGAGUGUACAAGUAGCACAUUUACGACAUAAGACGAGAAGUUGACUGGGAUGGUUUGGUAAUAGCCUCACCAUAUCCAAGGUUCCAUAGGUGUAGGAUAACUGAAGGGGUUAAAGACAAUAACGUAGAUCUAAAAUCAUAAGUUAAGAUUUGUCUCGAAAGAACUACAAUCAUUCGGCAUCAAUGCAGAUAUUGGAAAACAGAACCCAGUGGAAGAAAAAGAUUCAUAACAAUGACCACCAGCUAGUUACAGCUGUAAAUAAGACGUUAUGUAGGUACAAUCACGCCCAAUUUGGUUUUAUUAGUUCUUUUAGAAAUUUGUAUGUCCAUACAAAAGCAAAGAAAUCCUAGCAUUAGAGAACCCCCUAAUUGGUCCCUUUUUAAAAUAAGGAGAAUCCCUAAUUGGUUAUAAGAAAAAACUUACUGAGUAUUCAUGAAAGAUUAUAAGAGAAUCAAAAUAAAUAUUGAAGGUUAAUAUAGCCAAUCCCAACUAAUUAGGGUUGAAACAUAGUAACGGUGGCUGUUAUAAUAUAAAACAAAUUCUGCCUAAGUUUACAAAGUUAAGUAACAAACAUUCCAAAAUAUUCAACCAAGAGGAGAAAAAAAGGAAGGGUAGAUAAUUCUAUCAUCAAAGUUAGAUUCUAAUUCUCAGCCUACCACUCUAAUCACGCGGCCAAUCAAAUGGUUGUGUUCGGGCACAAACAAAAGCAAUUAGGCUGCAUUAAAUAUAGGUUUAGAAUUAUGAAUUCCCACAUAAUUCCUAUUUAUAAACUACAUAAAUGAAAUUACUCUCUUUCUAUAGACUAGUCCAUGCAAUUUUCUUGUCUCAUCAGUCAUCGAGUAACAGAAAAAUAUGUAUCACCACAUUAAAGGUACAAAGAUAGCUAAUUCUAAUGGAAACACAGCAAUGUAACACGGAAUGAUCAGACAAACCAUCACCCUAUGUUUAAAAAGGAUGUCCACAACUAACUGCACCUAAUUAAAGAAUUUAUUGCUAAAGAUUUUUCUGCUAGGAUAUACACAAGGAUAAAAUCAUGAACAAGCUUCAAUUGAAAUUUUUGCAAAGAAAACUGAACAGGAAAUCAGGGAAAGAACACAACAGGAAUAGGCUCCCCUUCCAGUUUGAAACAACAACAACAACAAACCCAGUGUGUUCCCACAAAGCGGGGACUGGGGAGGGUAAAAUGUACGCAGUCCAUACCGCUAUCUCCAAAGAAGUAGAGAGGUUGUUUCCAAUAGACCCCCGGCUCAAGAUAGAGAGUAGUAAACAAGAGCGUAAUGAAACAUAAAGCAUGAUGAAUGGCAUAACAUAAAAAGGGAUAAGACACAAUAAAAUAGAAAUCAAAGCAAUACGAGAUA